rnacentral:miRNA from 1 species
GGUUUCUCUGUGUAGCCUUGGCUGUCCUGGAACUCACUCUGUAGACCAGGCUGGCCUUGAACUCACAGAGAGCCGGCUGCCUCUGCCUCCCAAGUGCUGGGAUUAAAGGCAUGGGCUACCUCUGCCCG